UGAGUAACCUGCCCUUGACUCUGGGAUAAGCCUGGGAAACUGGGUCUAAUACCGGAUAUGACUCCUCAUCGCAUGGUGGGGGGUGGAAAGCUUUAUUGUGGUUUUGGAUGGACUCGCGGCCUAUCAGCUAGUUGGCGUGGGUAAUGGCCCACCAAGGCGACGACGGGUAGCCGGCCUGAGAGGGUGACCGGCCACACUGGGACUGAGACACGGCCCAGACUCCUACGGGAGGCAG
rnacentral:rRNA from 1 species